CGCCCCUCCCCCCCGCUAAUUAGGGACAAUCACUGACCUACUUCAGAACUCUCCAGCAGGUGGGAGAUCUCCUGUGGCGGUAGCCAGCCUCUGGUGAUCCUUGGCCCCAGCCAACAUGGCUAUGGUCACCUACUCCUGGGAUAGCAUCAGUGACUCAGAAACAAAUGAUACACGUAGCCUAGUACCCAGCACAGCAAGUGUUUCGUUCUGAUUUGGGCCCCUAAGCGCUACUGUACGAAUGCAUAAUCCUGAUGGAUCGUUCCAGGUGGAUUCCAGAAUCCAGCUGUGGAUGUGAUAUAUCUUGACCUCACACCUUCUAUGGGCCAUCUUAAUUAUCACUUCAAAAUGUUUUUUUUCCUCCUGCUGACAAUAGCUCAUCUCAAUUGAUUAGACUCUUCCUGUUGGCGACAAAUGUAUGUGGUUUACCAUAAAAAUAAGAGAUGUGUACUUGGUGAAGACUACAUCAAGUGACUGGCCAUUUUGGUGCACGGGAAAAUUAAUCCCAGACUGCAGGUUAAAUGAGGAAGUGAGAGCAGAGACAUCACAGUGCACUCUCCUAAAAUUUCUCUGUAAAUUUUGUCCAUUGGGA